rnacentral:rRNA from 1 species
UUGGAGGGCAAGUCUGGUGCCAGCAGCCGCGGUAAUUCCAGCUCCAAUAGCGUAUAUUAAACGUUGUUGCAGUUAAAACGCUCGUAGUUGAAUUUCGGGGUCAGUAGGUUGGUCAUGCCACUGGUAUGUACUGGUCUCACUGAUUCCUCCUUCCUGAUGAGCCGUAAAUGCCAUUAAUUUGGUGUUGCGAGGAAUCUGGACUGUUACUUUGAAAAACUUGAGUGUUUAAACGCAGGCUAACGCUUGAAUACAUUAGCAUGGAAUAAUGAAAUAGGACGUUCGAUCCUAUUUUGUUGGUUUCUAGGAUUGACGUAAUGAUUAAUAGGGAUAGUUGGGGGUCAUUAGUAUUCAAUUGUCAGAGGUGAAAUUCUUGGAUUUAUUGAAGACUAACUAC